rnacentral:rRNA from 1 species
CAGUCGCCCGGUAAUACGGAGGGUGCAAGCGUUAAUCGGAAUUACUGGGCGUAAAGCGCACGCAGGCGGUCUGACAAGUCAGAUGUGAAAUCCCCGGGCUUAACCUGGGAACUGCAUUUGAAACUGUCAGGCUGGAGUCUUGUAGAGGGGGGUAGAAUUCCAGGUGUAGCGGUGAAAUGCGUAGAGAUCUGGAGGAAUACCGGUGGCGAAGGCGGCCCCCUGGACAAAGACUGACGCUCAGGUGCGAAAGCGUGGGGAGCAAACAGGAUUAGAUACCCCGGUAGUCCCUGUCUCUUAUACA